rnacentral:rRNA from 1 species
CGGACGGGUGAGUAACACGUGGAUAACCUACCUAUAAGACUGGGAUAACUUCGGGAAACCGGAGCUAAUACCGGAUAAUAUAUUGAACCGCAUGGUUCAAUAGUGAGAGACGGUUUUGCUGUCACUUAUAGAUGGAUCCGCGCCGCAUUAGCUAGUUUGUAAGGUAACGGCUUACCAAGGCAACGAUGCGUAGCCGACCUGAGAGGGUGAUCGGCCACACUGGAACUGAGACACGGUCCAGACUCCUACGGGAGGCAGCAGGC